rnacentral:rRNA from 1 species
UACUAUAGCUUGACACUGAACAUUGAGCCUUGAUGUGUAGGAUAGGUGGGAGGCUUUGAAGUGUGGACGCCAGUCUGCAUGGAGCCGACCUUGAAAUACCACCCUUUAAUGUUUGAUGUUCUAACGUUGACCCGUGAUCCGGGUUGCGGACAGUGUCUGGUGGGUAGUUUGACUGGGGCGGUCUCCUCCUAAAGAGUAACGGAGGAGCACGAAGGUUGGCUAAUCCUGGUCGGACAUCAGGAGGUUAGUGCAAUGGCAUAAGCCAGCUUGACUGCGAGCGUGACGGCGCGAGCAGGUGCGAAAGCAGGUCAUAGUGAUCCGGUGGUUCUGAAUGGAAGGGCCAUCGCUCAACGGAUAAAAGGUACUCCGGGGAUAACAGGCUGAUACCGCCCAAGAGUUCAUAUCGACGGCGGUGUUUGGCACCUCGAUGUCGGCUCAUCACAUCCUGGGGCUGAAGUAGGUCCCAAGGGUAUGGCUGUUCGCCAUUUAAAGUGGUACGCGAGCUGGGUUUAGAACGUCGUGAGACAGUUCGGUCCCUAUCUGCCGUGGGCGCUGGAGAACUGAGGGGGGCUGCUCCUAGUACGAGAGGACCGGAGUGGACGCAUCACUGGUGUUCGGGUUGUCAUGCCAAUGGCACUGCCCGGUAGCUAAAUGCGGAAGAGAUAAGUGCUGAAAGCAUCUAAGCACGAAACUUGCCCCGAGAUGAGUUCUCCCUGACUCCUUGAGAGUCCUGAAGGAACGUUGAAGACGACGACGUUGAUAGGCCGGGUGUGUAAGCGCAGCGAUGCGUUGAGCUAACCGGUACUAAUGAACCGUGAGGCUUAACCUUACAACGCCGAAGCUGUU